GUGUACUUGAAAGAUCCCCGAAGGGAGACCGCUACUCAAGUCUCGGGAAAUCGUGGACCCCAGACACAGAGAGACCA
rnacentral:pre_miRNA from 14 species